rnacentral:lncRNA from 1 species
GGCAAAGAGUAACAUUCACACUAACCCUCUUGUGGGAGAACCAUCUAGCACAAGCCUUAACCCAAUUCAAAGACAGAAGUGUAGUCAAACCCCAAAACUCAAUCGAAUAAUAUCCCAAAACUAAUAACUAACAAUGCAGAAUUAAUCAAACAACUCGUUACAAUCCCAAAGAUCUGAAAGUCAUCUUACAAGAACUCUAAACAAUCAUGUAUAAAUAAAUAUCCAAACUAACAAAAUAAUAAAGAAUUGUCUCAUUUUUCAGAAGAAGGACAAGAACUAAUAAUAUGAUCCAUGACAUCCUAAAUAUGGAUCGCUCACUCUUGGAUGAAAUCGCCAGUCAAAUACUAGAGAUAAUGUUACGUCGGAUUCUAUGGAAUACAACCUACACUUAACAAAAGAAUGACACAUGAUAACAUUGAUACAAAACACUAUAUAUUGAAAGGUAUCAUAGGCUGACUCAACUAUAAGCAUCUAAUACAUAUAAAUCAAACAACAAAUAUUAAAUAGACAAUACAUUGAACACAUAACAUGUAUUCUAAAUCAGUAAACAAAUAUAUUCAUAAAAAGUCAAACAAAUAUAUCCACAACAAGCCAAUCAAGUAUGUUCAACACCAAUCAAUAAUAUCAACCAUAUCAUAAAACUCACCAAUUAAACAAAACAACAGAAUGGAUGUCUAUGUCCACUUUACCCUUACAAAAGUAUUCUCAUUAGUCUAAUUAUAAUCACAAUGUAGUUUCUAACUCACGUAUCAACACUAAUCUUGUCACGAUUCAAAAACUAAGGUUAUGAUGUCAUUUAUUGCAGUUAAGCCUUGACAAUUAAACCAAUUACCCGAACUUAUAAGUAAGAAGAAAUCAUAACACAAUUUCCUAGGCGAGACUUCUAGAGCAAAGUCAAACCAUAUAUGUACAAUAAUAGCGAAAGUCUGAAUAAUAUAGAUACCAUAACCUAUCUCAAAAUCUGGUGUUAUAGUGUAAGAACAAUCUUAAUACAACUCAAAAAUUAGAAAAUACAACAAAAAAUUGAAAACUACAAAUUUAUCUCUAAAAGUAAAUAAAGACAUCAACUUGAUCGAAGAAGUUAUGAGGUCGACUCUGAAAGCAUAAAGCGGCCACUACCUCAAAAGUUUCAAAAACCAAUGCACAAUCUCACCUGCCGCGUGAAGUACUCAUACCUAGAUUGGUAUUGAAAGGGAAAAUUAAAGGAGAGUAUGGUCCAUUAGUAUUCAGUAGGUAUCAUAGGCCGAUUGAUCAAAGUGAAAAAUAAGAUAUAUCAAUACACACUAUGAGCACGCCACCUGCAAGAAGAUUAAGUCUCAAAUGGUAGCUCACACCGUCUCCACUAACAAUUCUAAAUAUAGCACAUAAACAAAAAAAAAGGUAUGUAAAAGAAAGAAAAAAGCUAUGCUUUAGAUGAAUCGCAGAAGCACAAUAUUGAAGGUGCAUAAAUGGAUGAACUGCAAUGAUGAAGAUAAUGAUGAUGAUGUGAUAUGAUUGAGGUUAUCACAUAACCUCAUUUUACAACUAUCAAGCUUUAACACUUCCAGGUACAACCUAUGGAGGUUUGCAAUUCAUAUACUUUCUCAAUACUGAAUCCGUAUCUCGAUAUACAAAUCUUUUCUCCAACUCUUAGGCUACGAUAAAGGGUUUUCUAAAAGCAUGUCAUUUCUAUAAAAAUCAGUAUUUCAUCUGGCACCAAUGUUUCAUGAAUGUAUGCGUGAUAUGAAGAUGUAACUUCUCAUUAUCGAACCAAUAUAAAGAUCUCGAAUCCAUUCAACAUAUGAACAUGUGAGCUCAUAAUCUACUCAAUUACUCAACUAUCUAUGAUUUAGUAUAAGAACUGUACCAUCGGAAUAAAUAUGCAUGUAAGUCACCAAUAAUAUCACAUUAAUCCCUAAAUUAGUAUUUUUAUCAUGAAAGAGAACAACCCAUGCAUAACGAUACCAAUAAUAUCAGAUAAGGCCUAAUGUGGAUAACACGUAGCAAGUAUGAUCUUAAAUCACCAACAACAACAAUAUAAAUCCCCACAAGGGCACACAAAAGUAAUAACAUUGCUUAUAGGAUUGAUUUUCCAUAACCAUAUCAUUCUUAUAUAUGCAUAUUAACUACCCAGCCCAUUCUGAAGAAUGUUAAGCCAUAACCUACCUCGCGACGUAGAUACACAAGCCUUAAGUCACUCAACGAGGAACUUUUCCUUCUUGGAUGGCCUAAAAAUAAACUAAUACAUUCAAAUAUAGAAUCUACGCGUUAAAAUAAAGCCAGCAAUAGACAUAUUUCUUAUUUCUAGGUCGGGGUCAAAACGGACCCUCGACCUGGGUUUUUGAAAAGUAAGGGUAAAACUAAAUUUUUUAUUUAUAAAAACCUUACAAAUGAUUAAAGAAUUCCAUAGGAUAAAACUCAAGUAACAACGGGUUAAAACGAGGCUUAAAUAAAAGAAAUACCAUUUAGGCUUUCAGGGCGAAAAAUCUCUAAAUUCAGAAAUAGAAUCAAGAUUUAAAGGGGUUUUAAACUAUAUAUUCCAAGUAAGAUAAUUGAAAUAGUGAUUUAGAGCUACCCAAGCUAGAAAAUAGAAGAAAUUGCUCAAAAAUCCCUUAACCCAAAGCUCAAAGUCAAAAAAAUUAAAAAAGGGGAAGGAGGAUUUAUAUAUCCUCCCAGCUAUGGCCGCUAGCAUGGAUGAACCACUUUAGCGGUCUAAAAAAAUUGUGUUGGACCACUAAAGUUCUCCCCUACUGCUAAAGCAAUGAUCACUAAAGUUGUCAAGUGUCCACUUUAGAGAUACUUGCCUAGACUGGCAGGGUUUGCUAAAGCGCUGCAUUGGCCCCUUAAGCGGAUACCGCUUUAGUGGCCCCUUAAGCAGAUACCGCUUUAGCUAUAUAAACAACUUUUCUACGUUGUAAAAUUAUUGAUCAAACCCUCUAAAGGUCGUGAAAUAGGAUCACCAACUUACGAAGGUUAAAUUACUCCUAAGUAUAAAUACUUGGCUGAAAUUUUUUCUAAGUAUGGGACCUCUUUUCAAGCUUUAAUGGACUGAGAUAAUCUUAGAAUUUUGUGAGGUCAUACAAUAUCUCUCCCUUGGGAACAUUCGUCCUCGAAUAAAACUGAGAUGAGAAUACUGAUAGACUGAAUUUAUAUAUGCUGAACACGCAGAACUGAAGAAUGAUUACAUGACUGAAAGUACUAAUAUACUGAGUUAUCAUACUAACAUGCAUAACUAAAGCAUGACAGAGUUCUAAAAAUAUGACACAUGACUGAGAUGUUUCAUGAAGGUAUGCAUGAUAUGAGAAUGCUAUGCAGCUGAACCGAUACAAAGUUGCUAAGGUAAUCUGAGCAUGGAACUGAGUAAAUUCAAGUAAAAAUGGUACCUUGAACUGAGUCUAGGUUUGCAGAGAAGAGGUGAGGGUAAUUGGUCCGUAUAUCUGCUUCAGCUUUCCAAGUAGCUCCCUCAACAGACUGAUUUUGCCAAAGAACUUUGACUAGCGGAACUUCUUUGUUCCUCAGUCUAUGAAUCUGAUAAUCAAGGAUUCAGACUGGAAACUCUUAGUAAGAGAGACAGUUCUAAACAUCUAUACCCUCUAUAGGGACUACAACUGCUGGGUCACCUAUGCAUUUCUUUAGCAAGGAGACAUGAAACACUAGAUGAACUAAAGCUAAAACUUAAGGAAAUUCAAGCUUGUAAGCUACCUUUUCGAAAUGGCUAAGAAUUUGAUAUGGACCGACAUACUAGGGACUGAGCUUCCCUUUUUUUUGUAAACCUCUUCACUCCUUUCAUAAGAGAUGUUUUCAAAUACACAUAGUCGCCAAUCUCAAACUCGAGAUCCUUUCUUCGCAUAUCUACAUAUGAUUUCUGUCGGCUUUGAGCCGUCUUAUGCAUUUCCUUGAUCAACUAAAAUUUUUCUAAGGUAUCAAAUACCAUGUCAGGACCUACCACUGUGGCGUCACCCACUUUAAACAAACCAAUGGGAGAUCUGCAUCUCCUCCCAUAGAACGCCUCAAACAGAGCCAUCUUAAUGCUGAAUGGUAACUAUUGUUAUAUGCGAACUCAAUAAAGGGAAAGUUGUCAUCCCAAAUACCCUUAAAGUCAAUGGCACACACUCUUAACAUAUCAUUCAACGUGUAAAUGGUCCUCUCUACUUGACCAUUUUUCUGAGGGUGAAAGGCUGUACUGAGGUAAACUUUGGUACCUAGACCUUAUUAGAAGGCUUUCCUGAAAUGAGAGGUAAAUUGCGUACCUCUAUCUGAGAUGAUGGAUAACAGAACUCCGUUCAAUGUGACUAACUCUCUAACAUAGAUCUUGGCAUAUUCCUCGACUGAAUAAGAGGUAUGCACUAGUAGGAAAUAAGCUGAUUUGGUUAUCCUGUCAACAAUAACACAAAUUGAAUCAUGCUGAUGACGAGUACGGAACAAACCCAUCACAAAGACCAUGUUCACUUUCUCCUACUUCCAUUUGUGGAUAUUGAACUCGUGCAUGGAACCACUACAUUUUUGUUUCUCAAUCCUAACCUGCUAAUAUAUCGAGCACUUAGCUACAAACUCUGCAAUGUAUCUCUUUAUCCCAAUCCACCAAUAGAUCUCUUGCAAGUCACGGUACAUCUUAGUGGUCCCUGGAUGAAUAGAGUAACGCACACCAUGCAUUUCUGGAAGAAUUCUUUGCCUCAAGCCAUCUACAUCUAGCAUGCAUAACCGACCCUGGCAAUGGAACACACCAUUUCCCCCUUGGGAGAAAGUCUCUACUUUCUAUUCUCUGACUGAGUCUUUCAACUUUACUAAACUGGGAUCCCUGUCCUGCUUUUCCUUUACUUCAGAAACUAGAGAUGAUUCUAAACUGUUCUGCACCCACACACUUCCCUCUGCUGAAUCGACUAAGCGGAUACCUAGUCGAGCAAGCUGAUUAACUUCUUUAACAAACUUCCUAUUAUUAUCCUCUACGUAAGCAACACUACCCAUAGACAUCCUAUUAAGAGCAUUAGCCACUACAUUGUCCUUUCUCGGAUGGUAUAGAACUCUCAUGCCGUAGUCUUUCAACAACUCUAACCACCUCCUCUGACGUAGAUUUAGAUCUUUUUGAAACAAUAUAUACUACAGGCUCUUGUUAUCACUGAACAAAUCCACAUGUACCCUGUACAAAUAAUGCCUCAAAAUCUUUAAGGCAAACACCACAACUACUAACUUAAGAUCAUGAGUGGGGUAAUUCUUUUCAUGGGGCUUAAGCUAUCAAGAGGCAUAGGCUAUGAUCUUACCUCUAUGCAUCAAAACACACCCCAAACCAACUCUGGAAGCAUUACAAUAUACCACAACCCCAUCUGAACGAUCUGGUAGAGUCAAAACUGGGGCUGUAGUGAGUCCAAUUUUUAACUACAGAAAAAUUUUCUCACAAGAAUUUGACCACUGCAAUUUGACUUUCUUCUGAGUUAAUAAGGACAUAGGAAAUGCAAUAGAUGAGAACCCCUCAACAAACCAUCGGUAAUAGCCAACCAAACCCAAGAAACUCCAGAUAUCUAACGAAGAGAUAAGUUUGGGCCAGUUUUUCACUUCUUUGGUCUUUUGAGGAUCAACUCUAAUACCAUCACCAGAAACUUUAUGACCAAGAAAAGAUACUAACCUUAUCCAAAAUUCACAUUUACUAAAUUUGGAAAAAAAUUAAUGGGCUCUGAGGGUCUAUAACACUAUUCUGAGAUGGUCUGCAUGAUCCUGUUUACUGCGGUUGUAGACAAGAAUGUCAUCAAUGAAGACUAUAAUGAACAUGUCUAAGUACUGCUUGAACUCCCGGUUUAUCAAGUCCAUAAAAGUUCUUGGGGCAUUGGUAAGACCAAAUAACAUGACUAGGAAUUCGAAGUAAUCAUACCGAGUUCUGAAAGCUGUCUUCGGAAUGUCAUAUUCUCUGACUCUGAGCUGAUGAUAGCCUGAUUUAAGGUCUAUCUUAGAAAAGUAGUUGGCACCCUGAAGUUGGUCGAACAAUUCAUCGAUUCUGGGAAUUGGAUACUUGUUCUUAACUGUGACUUUAUUAGCUGAUGAUAGUCUAUACACAUUCUGAGAGAACCAUCUUUCUUACUCACGAAUAAAAUUGGUGCACCCCAUGAGGAAACACUGGGUCUAAUGAAUCCCUUAUCUUGGAGAUCCUUUAACUAUUCUUUAAAAUCUUUUAGUUCUGCAAGUGCCAUUCUAUUUGGAAGGAUAGAAAUGGACUGAGUAUUUAGAUAAAGGUCAAUUCCAAAGUUAAUUUCCCUUUUGGGAGGAACUCCGAGAAAAUCUUCAGGAAACAAAUUAAGAAAUUCACAUACUACUGAUACUGGUUCAAGAUUAGGGAUCUCUGAACUAGAGUCUUGAACUCGAAAGAGAUAAUAGACACAUCCCUUAGAUAUCAUUUUUCUCGCCCUAAGGUAAGAAACAAGUUAACCCCUAAGUGCUGAAGUACUACCCCUCUACUCAAGGACAAGUUCAUUUGGAAACUAAAAGUGGACAAUUCAAUUUCUACAGUCAAUUGAAGCAUAGCAUGAAUGAAGCCAAUCUAUGUCGUAAAUGACAUCAAAAUCUGUCAUCUCUAAUUCCACUAAGUCUACUAAAGUGGCUUUCUGAGAUACCAUAAUCGAACAGUUCUCAUAUACCCGUCGGGCUAUGAUAGAUUCAUCCACUGGGGUAGAGACUGAGAAAGUCUCUGCUAGGAUUUCUGGACUGACUCUGAAGUUAGCAGCUAUAUAAAGAGAUAUAAAGGACAAGGAAGUCCCUGGAUCUAACAAAGAUUAAACAUUAAAUUAUAAACUUAUAACGUACUAGUGACCAUAUCAAGAGAACUUUUUUUGAUUUUAUCGGGACUAAAGAGCUUAAAGUCUAUUUGGGCGUUGCCCACUGGUGGCACUAGAAGCGGCACCCUGUUGAUUCGAGCAAUCAAACUGAGAUGAAGAAUGAUUAUACUGACCUUGAGAACUUGACUAAGGACAAUAUAUGACCCUAUUUCAUGGCUUUCCACAUCCAAAACAUACAUCACUACCAGCCCUACAAAAAUCUUGGUGGUUUCUAUCAUAUUUCUGGCAAAGAGGGCUUGUUCAGGCACUACUAACACUACCUUGAGGUUUGGGUCCUGGUGCCCUAUCUUUUUUACUAUCUCUAAAUUUUGGCACUGGAGAACUGGUUGACGAUAGAGCUGGAACUGAGGAUUUUGGGCGGAACUAAGAAUGAUUUCCACCUUCGGACUUAGGUUGGGAAAAUUUGAAGCUACCUAUUCUAGCUCUCUUGUUCUCCCUCUCUUUAUCCCUAUUCUUAGCCUCCUCUAUCUGUUGAGCAUGGACCAUGAACCUGGAUAUGUCUAUCUCCUUAAUCAGCAUUGCGGUCCUAUACUCGACCACACUGAUAGACACACCGAACACAAACUUACUCAUCUUGGAUCAGCUAUCGGCUACCACAUGAGGAGCAUAUCUGGCUAAUUGAGUAAACUUGUGAGAAUACUCUUUCACUGUCAUAUUGCCCUGCUUCAGAUUAAUAAACACCUACACCUUUACUUCACUGAACUCCGGUGGGAAAAACCUAUCUAGAAAAGCAGUCGCAAAUUCCUCCCAUUCUAUGGGCCCUGCAUCAAUUUCCCUCUCUGUCUUCUACUGCUUAAACAAUGAGUGAGCCAUAUCCUACAAUCGAUAUGUGUCUGACUAAGCACUCUUACUAGCUGUCAACCCCAUAAUAUCUGUGACUUUCUACACCAGAUUAAGAAAUUCUUGUAGCUCUUCCUCUGAAUUAAACCCGGUAAAAGCUUAAGGGUUCAUUUGGGUGAAGUAUCAAAUUUUGGCUGCAGCAGUAUUAGCCACUGGGUUGGCCAGAAUGGCAGUUGGGCAUUCAUUCUGGGCUAUCACUGAAUUUGCUAGGGUAGUAAAUGCAGCCCUGAAUUUUUCUUGGGAGACAUGCUCGUCCAGAGGAUUUGUCUAAACGGGCUGAAGGCUGGCUGAUUUUCUGUUCUCCUUUUGUUGUUCUUUUUGGGAGGCAUAUUCUUUAAAUGGAAGUAAAAAAAAGGAUUAUACUAAGAUUGUAACUUGAGCUCACGCUCACUCGCACGAUAUGAAUACUGAAAGAAGGGAAACUUUUCCUAAAAUUGCCUCAUAGCCUGUUGUUCAUAAGUGUGGUGUGCUACACAUCCAUGAACACGACUCUACUAGACGCGGCUUUCAGACUUCUUAGGACUCUGUUGAACCUUAGGCUUAGAUAACAAGUUUGUAAUUCCCCUGGUCUGUACCCCGAAUGCUACAUGGUGCUAGCGACCCCGAAGGACCACCAGCUAACCCAUGACUGCACUACUAAAAAAUGCCAAAAAGAGACGACCAACGAUGCUUUUUUGGCAAAAAUGAUGAAAAUCCAUCAAUUUUUUUUCGUCUUAAAAAGGGGCAUUGUUUUUUGAAAAUGACGGCCUGCAUCACUUAAUUAUGAUGGCUAGUGUCUCUUUUGGAAAAAAAAAUUUAGUAAUUUCUGAAAAAAGCAACAUUGUGCGUCGGUUUUUAUUCUUCAUGUGAAGAACACAUGAUGAACAAAAAGAGACGUUGUGCGUUGCUUUUUGUUUAAUACAUGAUCAACAAAAAGCGAUGUUGUUUGUCACUUUUGUUUAAUACAUGGUGAACAAAAAAUGGUGUUGUGCGUCAUUUUAUUGAAAAAAAUUUUUUUAGAAAAAUUGACAUUGUCCGUCGUAAUUUGAGAAAAAUAAAAUUUAUUUUAAAAAAAAAAAACUACGUUGGUCGUCGCGUUUUGUUCUUCAUAAUGAAUAAAAAGCGAAGAUCAUCGUCACUUUUUGUUUUUCAUAAUAAAAAAAGCGACAUUGGUUGUCGCUUUUUAUUCUUCAUAAUGAAUAAAAAAAACGACGCUCAUCGUCGCUUUUCUGUAUUUUUUUUAUUCCAGAAAUUUGCAUUUCUUUUACCCACCUGCUAAAUAAAAAUGCAAUUCAGUAUAUACAUCCCUUAUACAACACACAUUAUUACAGUAAUCAUACAACACACUACAUCAACAAAUUAUUUAAGAAAUUUAAAUCAACAACACUUAAACAUUGAAUCCAACAACAUUCAAAAUACUUAAACACUCAUAAAGAUUUUUCACUAAAUUAAAAGCUAAGUUCAAAAAUAUCUAAAAAUUAUCUAAAAGUCAAGUCAAACAACACAACACUAAGGAGUAUCCCCAACAAACUCCUUACCACUCUACGUUUCCUCUUCGCUACUUGAAUUAGGAGCAACGGCAUGUGUCAAGGCACAUCUAAGAUGUGAAAUCUAAUGUGACAUAGCAGCAUGUCUCUCAAAAAUUGUAGAAAUGGCCUGAUCGUGCUUUGCCAACCAACAACACAUUGUCUGAAAAUCAAUUAACUAGUGUUAUAUGAUUUUAUAUGACGGGUAUCUAUAUAUAUAUAUAUAUAUAUAUAAGUUAAUCAAAUAAUUGAAACAUGGCUUGUUUAAAGACUAUUGGAAUGUUCCACCACUCGUACCAAGGAUAUGUAAAAAGUCUCAUAACACUCUCCCUUAUAACCUCAUUAACUUCUUUUGACGCAAGAUACUAUCUGUAAAUAACAUAAUAAAUAUGUAAAAUUGAAUAUUUUAUUAAUGAAAAAACCAAACCUAUCAAUUUAAAAAUAAACUUAUGAAGAUCCAUCAGGCUUGAUAAACACUCUAUCAAGCAUGUCCGUAUCUCCAGGAAUUAGACCAAUCAAAUUUACAUCAAUAUCUUCUUCUACAAGAGGAGGUGCACCAAUUUCAAGUCAAGAAUUCACAUUUUCAAAUGAUUACACUUUACUAAUUUCAAAACACAAGUACAUCUUUCAAGUAACUACACUAAACCAUUUUCAAGUCAUUAAUUCACUUCUCAAGUAACUACACUUGAUUAAUUUGAAGUCACUAGUACACAUUUAAAAACACUACACACAACCAUUUUUAACUCUCUAAUUAACUUCUCAAGUGACUAAACUUAAUCAAUUUCAAGUCAUGAAUUAACAUUUCAAGUAUGAACACUAAACCAAUUUCAAGUCAUGAAUUUACAUUUUCAAGUGAUUACACUUUACAAAUUUUAAAACACAAGUUCACCUUUCAAGAACUACACUAAACCAUUUUCAACUCGAUGAUCCACUUUUCAAGUGACUAGUACACAUUUCAAAACGCUAUACUUAACCAUUUUCAACUCUCUAAUUCACUUCUCAAGUGACUAAACAUAACCAUUUUUAAGUCAUGAUUCACAUUUCAAGUAUCAACACUAAACCAAUUUCAAGUCAUGAAUUCACAUUUUCAAGUGAUUACACUUUAAAAAUUUUAAAAUACAAGUUCACCUUUCAAGAACUACACUAAACCAUUUUCAACUCGAUGAUCCACUUUUCAAGUGACUAGUACACAUUUCAAAACGCUAUACUUAACCAUUUUCAACUCUCUAAUUCACUUCUCAAGUGACUAAACAUAACCAUUUUUAAGUCAUGAUUCACAUUUCAAGUAUCAACACUAAACCAAUUUCAAGUCAUGAAUUCACAUUUUCAAGUGAUUACACUUUACAAAUUUCAAAACACAAAAGUUCACCUUUCAAGAACAACACUAAACUAUUUUCAAAUUGCUAAUCCACUUUUCAAGUGCCUAGUACACAUUUCAAAAAACUACACACAACCAUUUUCAACUCUCUAAUUCACUUCUCAAGUAACUAAACUUAACCAAUUUUAAGUCAUUAAUUCACUUUUCAAGUAUCAACACAAAACCAAUUUCAAGUAAUGAAUUCACAUUUACAAGUGAUUACACUUUUAAAAUUUUAAAACACAAGUUUACCUUUCAAGAACUACACUAAACCAUUUUCAAGUCGGUAAUCCACUUUUCAAGUGACUAGUACACAUUUCAAAAUACUACACUUAACUAUUUUCAAAUCUCUAAUUCACUUCUCAAGUGACUAAAUAUAACCAUUUUCAUGUCAUGAAUUCACAUUUCAAGUAUCAACACUAAAUCAAUUUCAAGUCAUGAAUUCACAUUUUCAAGUGAUUACAUUUUAUAAAUUUCAAAACACAAGUUCACCUUUUAAGAACUACAUUAAACCAUUUUCAAGUCGCUAAUACACUUUUCAAGUGACUACUACACAUUUCAAAACACUACAUCAAGUCGCUAAUACACUUUUCAAGCGACUAGUAAACAUUUAAAAAUGUUAACCAUUUCAACUCUCUAAUUCACUUCUCAAGUGACUAAACAUAACCAUUUUCAAGUCAUGAAUUAACAUUUCCAAGUGAUUACUCUUUACAAAUUUCAAAAUACAAGUUCACCUUUUAAGAACUACACUAAACCAUUUUCAAGUCGUUAAUCCAUUUUUCAAGUGACUAGUACACAUUUCAAAACACUACACAACCAUUUUCAACUCUCUAAUUCACUUCUCAAGUGACUAAACUUAACCAAUUUCAAGUCAUGAAUUCACAUUUUCAAGCGAUUACACUAUACAAAUUUCAAAACACAAGUUCACCUUUCAAGAACUACACUAAACCAUUUUCCAGUCGCUAAUCCACUUUUCAAGUGACUAGUACACGUUUCAAAACACUACACUUAACCAUUUUCAGCUCUCUAAUUCACUUCUUAAGUGACUAAACUUAAACAUUUUCAAAUCAUGAAUUCACAUUUCAAGUAUCAACACUAAACCAAUUUUAAGUCAUGAAUUCAUAUUUUCUAGUGAUUACACAUUACGAAUUGAUGUUUAACCAUUUUCGUUCUUCAAUAAUGCUUAUAAAUUAUUUGGGUCCUAUAAUUAUCUAAGAUACUCAUGAGAUCAUUUACUUAACUUCCACUACAUUUUAUCCAUUAUGUGGUCCUAAAAUUCUAUUAACUCUCUAAAUUUUUAAAAUAUUUUGUCAGAGUUUCCUUUGUAAAUAGGCCUAUAGCAAACCGGUCAGCUAAUCAGAAUACAUAUAAAUACACUUCAGAAAGAAUUACAACAAAUAUGUUACUCAACUAAUAAUACACGAGGCUCCAAUUGUCCUUAUAGUCAAAUAUUACAUACAAGCAACACUAUAACUUACCUAAUAUUUUUCCUCUGAAUGUUGCAUUCAUAUAGAAUAAAGGGACAUAUGCUAAAAUUACGGAACAAGCAAUUUCAAAAUGGCCAAAUUAUGUAUUCUAAAAAAACUACUUCAAUUAACACCCAAGACAAUAAGAAUAUCAAAAUUAAAAGUAGCACAUAGACAAACACAAAUGACAGAGAAUCAGACAAAAGAAAAUAAUCACUUUUUGUUAAUUUUAAAUUCAAACUCUGUCAAAGAAAAGGAAAAAAGAGGCCGAAUAUAAUUAAAAUCAAACAUAGAUAUUUAAUAAUUUUGUCAAACCUGGGAUGGG